rnacentral:rRNA from 1 species
UACGGAGGGAGCUAGCGUUGUUCGGAAUUACUGGGCGUAAAGCGCGCGUAGGCGGCUUUGUAAGUUAGAGGUGAAAGCCCGGGGCUCAACCCCGGAACUGCCUUUAAGACUGCAUCGCUUGAAUCCAGGAGAGGUGAGUGGAAUUCCGAGUGUAGAGGUGAAAUUCGUAGAUAUUCGCAAGAACACCAGUGGCGAAGGCGGCUUACUGGUCCGGUUCUGACGCUGAGGCGCGAAAGCGUGGGGAGCAAACAGG